GACGAAAUGCCGCAUUAACGCAUGUUUUGAUUUUUUGGGCUUUUCACUUAUGUAAUAGUUUACAUCGUUAUUGUGUAGCGUUUUUGUCGAAAAAUCAUGUGAUAUUUCAAUAGAAAACAUUACCUUAACAUUUGAAUUCACAAAGGCAUUUCAUGGUUCAACAUAUCCACUCACAUCACUACCUUCGUCCCUAUGUUUUCU
rnacentral:lncRNA from 1 species